UACGGAGGGGGCUAGCGUUGUUCGGAAUUACUGGGCGUAAAGCGCACGUAGGCGGCUUUGUAAGUUAGAGGUGAAAGCCCGGGGCUCAACCUGGGAAUUGCAUUCGAUACUGGAUAGCUAGAGUUCGGCAGAGGGAAGCGGAAUUUCUGGUGUAGCGGUGAAAUGCGUAGAUAUCAGAAGGAACAUCAGUGGCGAAAGCGGCUUCCUGGACCAGAACUGACGAUCAGGCACGAAAGCGUGGGGAGCAAACAGG
rnacentral:rRNA from 1 species